GUGAGGAAUAUUGCGCAAUGGGCGAAAGCCUGACGCAGCGACGCCGCGUGGAGGAUGAAGGUCUUCGGAUUGUAAACUUCUGUUAAGUGGGAAGAAAGGGCUGUUUUUAAUAGAAGCAGUUAAUGACGGUACCAUUAAAGAAAGCACCGGCUAAACUCGUGCCAGCAGCCGCGGUAAUACGAGUGGUGCAAGCGUUAUUCGGAAUAAUUGGGCGUACAGGGUGUGUAGGCGGUAUGUUAAGUCUGUUGUUAAAGACUCCGGCCUAAACGGAGACAGGCAGCGGAGACUGGCGUACUAGAGGGUGGAAGAGAGAAGUGGAAUUCUCGGUGUAGCGGUAAAAUGCGUAGAUAUCGAGAGGAACACCGAUGGCGAAGGCAGCUUCUUGGUCCAUACCUGACGCUGAAACACGAAAGCGUGGGGAGCAAACAGGAUUAGAUACCCCUGUAGUCC
rnacentral:rRNA from 1 species